UGGAGGUUAACGGGAUCGAACCGAUGACCUCCUGCUUGCAAAGCAGGUGCUCUCCCAGCUGAGCUAAACCCCC
rnacentral:tRNA from 1 species